rnacentral:rRNA from 1 species
AUUAGAGUUUGAUCAUGGCUCAAAUUGAACGCUGGCGGCAUGCCUUACACAUGCAAGUCGAACGGCAGCACGGGAGCAAUCCUGGUGGCGAGUGGCGAACGGGUGAGUAAUACAUCGGAACGUGUCCUGUAGUGGGGGAUAGCCCGGCGAAAGCCGGAUUAAUACCGCAUACGAUCUGCGGAUGAAAGCGGGGGAUCUUCGGACCUCGCGCUGCAGGGGCGGCCGAUGGCAGAUUAGCUAGUUGGUGGGGUAAAGGCCUACCAAGGCGACGAUCUGUAGCUGGUCUGAGAGGACGACCAGCCACACUGGGACUGAGACACGGCCCAGACUCCUACGGGAGGCAGCAGUGGGGAAUUUUGGACAAUGGGCGCAAGCCUGAUCCAGCAAUGCCGCGUGUGUGAAGAAGGCCUUCGGGUUGUAAAGCACUUUUGUCCGGAAAGAAAACGCCCGGGUUAAUACCCUGGGCGGAUGACGGUACCGGAAGAAUAAGCACCGGCUAACUACGUGCCAGCAGCCGCGGUAAUACGUAGGGUGCAAGCGUUAAUCGGAAUUACUGGGCGUAAAGCGUGCGCAGGCGGUCCGCUAAGACAGAUGUGAAAUCCCCGGGCUUAACCUGGGAACUGCAUUUGUGACUGGCGGGCUAGAGUAUGGCAGAGGGGGGUAGAAUUCCACGUGUAGCAGUGAAAUGCGUAGAGAUGUGGAGGAAUACCGAUGGCGAAGGCAGCCCCCUGGGCCAAUACUGACGCUCAUGCACGAAAGCGUGGGGAGCAAACAGGAUUAGAUACCCUGUAGUCCACGCCCUAAACGAUGUCAACUAGUUGUUGGGGAUUCAUUUCCUUAGUAACGUAGCUAACGCGUGA